rnacentral:rRNA from 1 species
UACGGAGGAUCCGAGCGUUAUCCGGAUUUAUUGGGUUUAAAGGGUGCGCAGGCGGGAGAUUAAGUCGGCGGUGAAAUUUUGCAGCUCAACUGUAAAAGUGCCUUCGAAACUGGUUUCCUUGAGUGUAGAUGAAGUAGGCGGAAUUUGUGGUGUAGCGGUGAAAUGCUUAGAUAUCACGAGGAACUCCGAUUGCGCAGGCAGCUUACUAAACUACUACUGACGCUCAGGCACUAAAGCGUGGGGAUCAAACAGGAUUAGAUACCCGGGUAGUCCCU